UGGGGAAUAUUGGGCAAUGGGCGCAAGCCUGACCCAGCAACGCCGCGUGAGGGAAGAAGGUCUUCGGAUUGUAAACCUCUGUCCUUGGGGACGAAAAAAAUGACGGUACCCAAGGAGGAAGCUCCGGCUAACUACGUGCCAGCAGCCGCGGUAAUACGUAGGGAGCGAGCGUUGUCCGGAAUUACUGGGCGUAAAGGGUGCGUAGGCGGUUUGGCAAGUCAGAGGUGAAAUCCCCGGGCGUAACUCGGGUGGUGCAUUUGAAACUGCUGAACUUGAGUGCAGGAGAGGAAAGCGGAAUUCCUAGUGUAGCGGUGAAAUGCGUAGAUAUUAGGAGGAACACCAGUGGCGAAGGCGGCUUUCUGGACUGUAACUGACGCUGAGGCACGAAAGCGUGGGGAGCAAACA
rnacentral:rRNA from 1 species